rnacentral:lncRNA from 10 species
UACCAAAGACUGUGGACUCUGGAUGAUAAUGAUAUGUCAAUGUGUGCUUUUCCUGCAGGGACUGAACAAGGGCAGUGUGUGCACAUGUGGGAGUGCCAGAAGCACCAGCGCAAUCCAGAUGUGCCCAGGCCCAUCUGUGCGUGAAAAUGCAGACACACCACACUAUUUAUCAAUUAGUGUCUGCUGCUGCCAGUGUCACCAGUUCUCUGCCUGAUGAAUGAUGCUAGGCUGGACAAGCCACACCCCAAGGUAUCCCGCUGCACUCAGAUACAAGACUGAAGAAGCAAGAACGUUAUAAAAAAGAAAGAAUGAAAAGAAAGAAGAAAAGCAACUAAGCCCAGAGAUGGAUCCCAAAACUGAAGAAUUGGUUUAAUUAAAUUGAAAGCUCUGGUGCUUGUGGUAAUUGCUAUGAAGGAAUCCAUAUCCCAUCAGAACCCUCUCCCCUGGAGUUUGCUCCCUCUACUUUCUCUGCAGCAGGCUGCUAGCCAGAGUCAAAGACUGUGUGCAUUUGAAAUCUCCAACCUUUUAAAACAUUACUGUGAAGUUGAAAGUUCCUGGUGUCUUUUGAUUAAACAUCGUGCUAGGGCAACAAUAAUAUUGACCACGUUUGAGACAGAAGAGCCACAAGAGGGAAUUAGCCUAAAUUCCUAAGCGCCCACCUGGAAAGGAUCCUCCUUGGAAGAUCUGUCAGAUCCAUAGUAAACUUUGAAUGAAAGAGAAAUAAAAUGUUAUGUGUUAAAGUUC